rnacentral:lncRNA from 1 species
UGACAGGUCAAGUAUCGGGCCACAAACUCAGCUACUUCUCUCUUCAUUUCCUUCCACCAGUAAUGUUCUCGAAGGUCUCUGUACAUCUUGGUACUACCAGGGUGGAUAGAGAAAUGAGACUGGUGGGCCUCUUCCAGGAUUUCCUUCUUCAGGUCAGCAUCAGCUGGAACACACAACCGAUGACCAAAUCUUAGGGUGCCAUCUGGGUGGAUCUGGAAUUCGGGUCGCAACCCUUUCUUCACUUCGUCCUUGAGCUAACAAGUGUGCACAUCAGACUGCUAAGCGACUUUUAUUUUGUCGAUCAGUGUUGGUUGCACUCUCAAAGUGGCCAGUAAACUUCUUGUAGUCUGUGUAACCACCUCAACCUGCAAUUUGUCA